rnacentral:rRNA from 1 species
UGCAGUCGAACGAGAAAGCCCGCAAGGGUGAGUAAAGUGGCGUACGGGUGAGUAACACGUGGGUAAUCUACCUUCUGGUGGGGAAUAACGCUGGGAAACCGGCGCUAAUACCGCAUAAUCCCGCAAGGGGAAAGGAGAAAUUCGCCGGAAGAGGAGCCCGCGGCUGAUUAGCUAGUUGGUGAGGUAAUGGCUCACCAAGGCAAUGAUCGGUAGCCGGCCUGAGAGGGCACACGGCCACACUGGCACUGAAACACGGGCCAGACUCCUACGGGAGGCAGCAGUGGGGAAUCUUGCACAAUGGGGGAAACCCUGAUGCAGCGACGCCGCGUGAGCGAUGAAGCCCUUCGGGGUGUAAAGCUCUUUCGGCAGGAACGAUAAUGACGGUACCUGAAGAAGAAGCUGCGGCUAACUACGUGCCAGCAGCCGCGGUAAUACGUAGGCAGCAAGCGUUGUUCGGAGUUACUGGGCGUAAAGAGUGCGUAGGCGGUGCUCUAAGUUUGGUGUGAAAUCUCCCGGCUUAACUGGGAGGGUGCGCCGAAAACUGGAGUGCUUGAGUAUGGGAGAGGCAAGCGGAAUCCCUGGUGUAGCGGUGAAAUGCGUAGAUAUCAGGAGGAACACCUGUGGUGUAGACAGCUUGCUGGACCAUCACUGACGCUGAGGCACGAAAGCGUG